AGCAGUCGCCGCGGGAAUACGGAGGGUGCAAGCGUUAAUCGGAAUUACUGGGCGUAAAGCGCACGCAGGCGGUCUGACAAGUCAGAUGUGAAAUCCCCGGGCUUAACCUGGGGACUGCAUUUGAAACUGUCAGGCUGGAGUCUUGUAGAGGGGGGUAGAAUUCCAGGUGUAGCGGUGAAAUGCGUAGAGAUCUGGAGGAAUACCGGUGGCGAAGGCGGCCCCCUGGACAAAGACUGACGCUCAGGUGCGAAAGCGUGGGGAGCAAACAGGAUUAGAUACCCGCGUAGUCCCUGUCUCUUAUAC
rnacentral:rRNA from 1 species